AUUGAACGCUGGCGGAAUGCUUUACACAUGCAAGUCGAGCGGCAGCACGGGGGUAACCCUGGUGGCGAGCGGCGAACGGGUGAGUAAUACAUCGGAACAUGCCCAGUCGUGGGGGAUAACACUUCGAAAGAAGUGCUAAUACCGCAUACGUCCUGAGGGAGAAAGCGGGGGAUCGCAAGACCUCGCGCGAUUGGAGUGGCCGAUGUCAGAUUAGCUAGUUGGUGGGGUAAAGGCCUACCAAGGCAACAAUCUGUAGCUGGUCUGAGAGGAUGAUCAGCCACACUGGGACUGAGACACGGCCCAGACUCCUACGGGAGGCAGCAGUGGGGAAUUUUGGACAAUGGGGGCAACCCUGAUCCAGCCAUUCCGCGUGAGUGAAGAAGGCCUUCGGGUUGUAAAGCUCUUUCGGCAGGAACGAAACGGUGAGCUCUAACAUAGCUUGCUAAUGACGGUACCUGAAGAAGAAGCACCGGCUAACUACGUG
rnacentral:rRNA from 1 species